CCUACGGGAGGCAGCAGUGGGGAAUAUUGGACAAUGGGCGGAAGCCUGAUCCAGCCAUGCCGCGUGUGUGAAGAAGGCCUUUUGGUUGUAAAGCACUUUAAGCGAGGAGGAGGCUACCUGGAUUAAUACUCUAGGAUAGUGGACGUUACUCGCAGAAUAAGCACCGGCUAACUCUGUGCCAGCAGCCGCGGUAAUACAGAGGGUGCGAGCGUUAAUCGGAUUUACUGGGCGUAAAGCGUGCGUAGGCGGCUGAUUAAGUCGGAUGUGAAAUCCCUGAGCUUAACUUAGGAAUUGCAUUCGAUACUGGUCAGCUAGAGUAUGGGAGAGGAUGGUAGAAUUCCAGGUGUAGCGGUGAAAUGCGUAGAGAUCUGGAGGAAUACCGAUGGCGAAGGCAGCCAUCUGGCCUAAUACUGACGCUGAGGUACGAAAGCAUGGGGAGCAAACAGGAUUAGAUACCCUGGUAGUCCAUGCCGUAAACGAUGUCUACUAGCCGUUGGGGCCUUUGAGGCUUUAGUGGCGCAGCUAACGCGAUAAGUAGACCGCCUGGGGAGUACGGUCGCAAGACUAAAACUCAAAUGAAUAGACGG
rnacentral:rRNA from 1 species